rnacentral:rRNA from 1 species
UACGUAGGGGGCAAGCGUUGUCCGGAUUUAUUGGGCGUAAAGAGCGUGUAGGCGGUUCGGUAGGUCCGUUGUGAAAACUCGAGGCUCAACCUCGAGACGCCGAUGGAAACCAUCGAACUAGAGUCCGGAAGAGGAGAGUGGAAUUCCUGGUGUAGCGGUGAAAUUCGUAGAUAUUGGGAAGAACACCGGUGGCGAAGGCGGCGAGCUGGUCCAUUACUGGACGCUGAGGCGCGACAGCGUGGGGAGCAAACAGG